CUGAAUGUUAACCGCCGGACCGGGUGGAAGUAACACCGGGGAUACCUACCUAUAGACCUGGGAUAACUUCGGGAAACCCGGGCUAAUACCGGAUGAUACCUUUGAACCGCAUGGUUCAAAAGUGAAAGACGGUCUUGCUGUCACUUAUAGAUGGAUCCGCGCUGCAUUAGCUAGUNUGGUAAGGUAACGGCUUACCAAGGCAACGAUGCAUAGCCGACCUGAGAGGGUGAUCGGCCACACUGGAACUGAGACACGGUCCAGACUCCUACGGGAGGCAGCAGUAGGGAAUCUUCCGCAAUGGGCGAAAGCCUGACGGAGCAACGCCGCGUGAGUGAUGAAGGUCUUCGGAUCGUAAAACUCUGUUAUUAGGGAAGAACAUAUGUGUAAGUAACUGUGCACAUCUUGACGGUACCUAAUCAGAAAGCCACGGCUAACUACGUGCCAGCAGCCGCGGUAAUACGUAGGUGGCAAGCGUUAUCCGGAAUUAUUGGGCGUAAAGCGCGCGUAGGCGGUUUUUUAAGUCUGAUGUGAAAGCCCACGGCUCAACCGCGGAGGGUCAUUGGAAACUGGAAAACUUGAGUGCAGAAGAGGAAAGUGGAAUUCCAUGUGUAGCGGUGAAAUGCGCAGAGAUAUGGAGGAACACCAGUGGCGAAGGCGACUUUCUGGUCUGUAACUGACGCUGAUGUGCGAAAGCGUGGGGAUCAAACAGGAUUAGAUACCCUGGUAGUCCACGCCGUAAACGAUGAGUGCUAAGUGUUAGGGGGUUUCCGCCCCUUAGUGCUGCAGCUACGCAUUAAGCACUCCGCCUGGGGGGUACGACCGCAAGU
rnacentral:rRNA from 1 species